UACGGGGGGGGCAAGCGUUGUUCGGAAUUACUGGGCGUAAAGGGUUUGUAGGCGGCCAACUAAGUCGGACGUGAAAUCCCUCGGCUUAACCGGGGAACUGCGUCCGAUACUGGAUGGCUUGAGUUUGGGAGAGGGAUGCGGAAUUCCAGGUGUAGCGGUGAAAUGCGUAGAUAUCUGGAGGAACACCGGUGGCGAAGGCGGCAUCCUGGACCAAUACUGACGCUGAGGAGCGAAAGCCAGGGGAGCAAACGGG
rnacentral:rRNA from 1 species